CAACAAUACGUCCUUAAAGAGACCGAUUUCUAGACUACCUGAAGCUCGGACUCUAAAAAGGCAAGGAUAGUUCCUGGUAUGAUUCCUCUUAUUCCACCUCCAUCGAUGCUAAGAACAGUGAUUUGGUUUCCAAAAGUUGGGGGUUGAAUGGGUGAUCUUAAAGUCUCGAUAUGAGAGAUUGAGGAGGAAUUCAAAGGCAUGGCUAGGUAAUAGUACUGAUCGAGAGCCUAGAAGCGGAAGAGUUAGAGGUGUUUAGCUUAAACUUUCUGAGAGCCUUGGGAGAUGUAUAUAGCUAGUGCUGAAAUCUAAUUAAGUUUUGAAACUUGUAAUUUCCCAAAGGGAGUGUGGAGGUAUUUAUAGACUUCUGUGCUUCAUGAAGCAUGGAAUUUUCAAUAAAGUUGAAAGAUUUUACUCACCCAAA